rnacentral:tRNA from 1 species
GGCCAAAAUACAUUGGUGUAGGCCGGAAUUCCGUCUGAAAAGCGGAAGGUCGGCGGUUCGAUCCCGCCCCUGGCCACCA